ensembl:snoRNA small nucleolar RNA, C/D box 7
AAGCAAUGAUGAGUGAAGUAUUCUCUGAACUGGUAUUGCUGAGACUUUUUGUCUUUGCUCUGACCAGGGCGUGAUCACGUAAUCUUCUCUCUGAGCUU